AACGCGUGAGCAACAUGCCCGUAUCAGGGGGAUAAUCCAUGGAAACGUGGUCUAAUACCCCAUAGUAAUUAUGUAAGGCAUCUUAUAUAAUUUAAAGCUUUGGUGGAUACGGAUUGGCUCGCGUGACAUUAGCUGGAUGGUAAGGUAACGGCUUACCAUGGCUACGAUGUCUAGGGGUUCUGAGAGGAAGGUCCCCCCACACUGGAACUGAGACACGGUCCAGACUCCUACGGGAGGCAGCAGUGAGGAAUAUUGGACAAUGGAUGGAAAUCUGAUCCAGCCAUGCCGCGUGCAGGAAGAACCGGCCCUAUGGGUUGUAAACUGCUUUUGUAUGGGAGCAAUAAGGGCUACGUGUAGUCCGAUGAGAGUACCAUACGAAUAAGCACCGGCUAACUCCGUGCCAGCAGCUGC
rnacentral:rRNA from 1 species